rnacentral:rRNA from 1 species
ACCGACACAGGUAGUCAAGAUGAGAAUUCUAAGGUGAGCGAGCGAACUCUCGUUAAGGAACUCGGCAAAAUGACCCCGUAACUUCGGGAGAAGGGGUGCUCUUUAGGGUUAACGCCCAGAAGAGCCGCAGUGAAUAGGCCCAAGCGACUGUUUAUCAAAAACACAGGUCUCUGCUAAACCGUAAGGUGAUGUAUAGGGGCUGACGCCUGCCCGGUGCUGGAAGGUUAAGAGGAGUGGUUAGCUUCUGCGAAGCUACGAAUCGAAGCCCCAGUAAACGGCGGCCGUAACUAUAACGGUCCUAAGGUAGCGAAAUUCCUUGUCGGGUAAGUUCCGACCCGCACGAAAGGCGUAACGAUUUGGGCACUGUCUCAACGAGAGACUCGGUGAAAUCAUAGUACCUGUGAAGAUGCAGGUUACCCGCGACAGGACGGAAAGACCCCGUGGAGCUUUACUGUAGCCUGAUAUUGAAAUUCGGCACAGCUUGUACAGGAUAGGUAGGAGCCUUUGAAACGUGAGCGCUAGCUUACGUGG